GAUGAACGCUGGCGGCGUGCCUAAUACAUGCAAGUCGAGCGAACGGACGAGAAGCUUGCUUUUCUGAUGUUAGCGGCGGACGGGUGAGUAACACGUGGAUAACCUACCUAUAAUACUGGGAUAACUUCGGGAAACCGUAGCUAAUACCGGUUAAUCUUUUUAACCGCAUGGUUCAAAAGUGAAAGACGGUCUUGCUGUCACUUAUAGAUGGAUCCGCGCUGCAUUAUCUAUUUGGUAAGGUAACGGCUUACCAAGGCAACGAUGCAUAGCCGACCUGUGAGGGUGCUCGGCCCCAACGGAACUGAGACACGGUCCAGACUCAUACGGCAGGCAGCAGUAGCGAAUCUCCUGCAACGGGAGAACGACUGCACGAGCAGUGCCGCGUGAGUCAUGAACGUCCACGGUUCGUAAAACUCUGUUAUCAGGGAAGAACAUCUGUGUAAGCAAAUGUGAACAUCUUGGCGGUACCUAAUAAGAAAGCCCCGGCUAACUCCGUG
rnacentral:rRNA from 1 species